GAAAAACAAAAGGGAACAAUCGCGGAUAAGGGAAAGAAAAAGCUAACAAUCGUUGAGGGGAAAAGAAAAUUCAUGUCCAGUGGUUCAAGUUCUUCGAGAAAGAAACACUGGUGUUGUGAUUCGCGAUGAGCAUGACAUUAUGCGCUUGCGUGAGGAUAAACGAAAGGCUGAAGCAAUGGCUAUGGAAAAACAAAAACAAACAGUCGCGGAUAAGGAACAGAAAAAGAUAACCACUGCAGGGAAGGGAAAAGAAAAUUCAUGUCCAGCGACUUUGUGGUCCGACACUGCAAGGACACGCGACACGUCGGGAACACAUGGAGACAUGUCUGGACACUCCACAUGAGGUAUCCUUUACCAGGGGAUAUGCUGGGGACACGACAAAGUGAAUUUAAAAGUUCUUAAAAGCUUUACCAGGAUAACAUAUGUAUCUUAAAAAGUAUUCCAAUUGGGAGUUUAUUUGUUGUGAACUUUGUUCCUCUUUCGUUUGAAUGGUAUUUUUUAUCAAAUCACUAUAGACCAGCACAUCCCUUUCCCCUAGGUAACAAUGUGAUCAAAUCAUUACAAGACCAGCACAUUCCUUUCCCUCGCUCUCUCCCAUAUUGCCAAGCGUAUGACCAAAACGUGUUACGCCGUGCCUUCAGGCACGGCCAUGC